GGAUGUGAGGGUGAUCUGGCUGUGACAUCUGUUACCUCAUUGAUCACCAGGGUUGAUUUGGCUGAUCUGGCUGGCUAGGCAGGUGUCCCCUUCCUCCCUAACCGCUCUCUGUGCGUCCCUCCCAAACUGCGCACUCGAUCAAAGAGGACACGACCUUCCCUGAAAGAGGAGGACAGUUCUUUGGUCAAGGGUAUACACGUAGCUGUGCUCUCCUGCCAGAACCUCCAAACAAGCUCUCAAAGUGCUUCAUGUAUUUAAAAAAAUGUAAAAGAAUUUGGUAUCGUUACCCUUAUACUAUUUUUAGGAGGAAAUAGAGUCACAAUG
rnacentral:snRNA from 1 species